AGUGAACGCUGGCGGCGUGCUUAAGACAUGCAAGUCGAACGGCAGUCUUCGGACUGUAGUGGCGCACGGGUGAGUAACGCGUAACCGACUUACCCCAAAGUCGCGGAUAACGAUUCGAAAGAAUCGCUAAUACGUGAUGUGCUGUCAGAUUGUGUUCUGCCAGUAAAGAUUGAUUGCUUUGGGAUGGGGUUGCGUUCCAUCAGCUAGUUGGUGGGGUAAAGGCCCACCAAGGCGACGACGGAUAGCCGGCCUGAGAGGGUGGCCGGCCACAGGGGCACGGAGACACGGGUCCCACUCCUACGGGAGGCAGCAGUUAGGAAUCUUACACAAUGGGCGAAAGCCUGAUGGAGCGACGCCGCGUGAGGGAUGAAGGUCUUCGGAUCGUAAACCUCUGAAUCAGGGACGAAAGACACUUCGGUGGGAUGACGGUACCUGAGUAAUAGCACCGGCUAACUCCGUGCCAGCCGCCGCGGUAAAAC
rnacentral:rRNA from 1 species